UACGUAGGGUGCAAGCGUUAAUCGGAAUUACUGGGCGUAAAGCGUGCGCAGGCGGUUAUGUAGGACAGGUGUGAAAUCCCCGGGCUUAACCUGGGAACUGCAUUUGUGACUGCAUAGCUAGAGUACGGUAGAGGGGGAUGGAAUUCCGCGUGUAGCAGUGAAAUGCGUAGAUAUGCGGAGGAACACCGAUGGCGAAGGCAAUCCCCUGGACCUGUACUGACGCUCAUGCACGAAAGCGUGGGGAGCAAACAGG
rnacentral:rRNA from 1 species